GAUUAACUUACUCAUGAGAGAGCGGCGAGAGGGCGGGCGAGGCUGGGCGACACCUUCAGCUUCCCAGGCGCCGGCGAAGUUAAUUGCACUGAACUUCAAGUUGCCUUUUCACCCAUCAGGAGUGGGCGUUUAAAGGAAGGAAGGAGGAGGAGGAGGGGGGCCACACACAGCCACCCUCCCUCCCUCCCCCUCCCCCACUUCUGAACUGCCUGGCAGGCGGUGACUGAGGAAAGGAAGAAGACGACGACGAGAAGGCGGCGCCCGCCUGCCUUUUCCACCUUCUUGCCACACACCAGGGCCAACGAACUGCCCAAAAAGCGCGGCUUCCGUCUUCUUUUUGCAAUUCUCAGUCCUGUUCGCGGGAUCUCUUGGCGUUCGUUUGUUGGAUAAGCAAAUGAUGGAAGCAACUGUGAUAGAAUUUGACCAUGUGGCCAGAACUUGUGGAAAAGAAUUUAAAGGAUGAAUUCACCAUGAACACACUGCAAUCAGAGCAGAGAGACACACCCUUGUUUGGUGUGCUUGGAAAAUGUAGUUGUGAUUGUACUAAAGCAGAAAAGAAGCUUGGCAUAAAGUCAGAACCUACUGAGCUGAACAGUUUGGAAAGAAGGAUGAAACAUUCUACCUCAG